rnacentral:rRNA from 1 species
UACGUAGGGUGCAAGCGUUGUCCGGAAUUAUUGGGCGUAAAGAGCUCGUAGGCGGUCUGUCGCGUCUGCUGUGAAAACUCAGGGCUUAACCCUGAGCUUGCAGUGGGUACGGGCAGACUAGAGUGCGGUAGGGGAGAUUGGAAUUCCUGGUGUAGCGGUGGAAUGCGCAGAUAUCAGGAGGAACACCAAUGGCGAAGGCAGGUCUCUGGGCCGUAACUGACGCUGAGGAGCGAAAGCGUGGGGAGCGAACAGG